GCCGGGCCCUAAGCGGGAGGGGACCCGGCGGACCGGAAGUCACUCCGUGAGGCAGUGGCGACGGCGGCGGUGAGAGGAUGAACAACAAGUUCGACGCAUUGAAAGACGAUGACAGUGGGGACCAUGAUCAGAAUGAAGAAAACAGCACACAGAAAGAUGGUGAGAAGGAAAAAACGGAACGAGACAAGGGUCAGGGCACCAGUAAGAGGAAGGCUGUCGUCCCUGGGCCAGCAGAGCACCCGCUGCAGUACAACUAUACCUUCUGGUACUCCAGAAGGACCCCCGGCCGCCCCACUAGCUCACAGAGCUAUGAACAGAACAUCAAACAGAUUGGCACCUUUGCCUCCGUGGAGCAGUUCUGGAGGUUUUACAGCCACAUGGUACGUCCCGGCGACCUGACGGGCCACAGUGACUUCCAUCUCUUCAAAGAAGGAAUUAAACCUAUGUGGGAGGAUGAUGCAAAUAAAAAUGGUGGCAAGUGGAUUAUUCGGCUGCGGAAGGGCUUGGCAUCCCGUUGCUGGGAGAACCUGAUCCUGGCCAUGCUGGGGGAACAGUUCAUGGUUGGGGAGGAGAUCUGUGGGGCUGUGGUCUCUGUCCGGUUUCAGGAGGACAUUAUUUCAAUAUGGAAUAAGACUGCCAGUGACCAAGCAACCACAGCCCGAAUCCGGGAUACGCUUCGGCGAGUGCUUAACCUACCUCCCAACACCAUUAUGGAGUACAAAACCCACACCGACAGCAUCAAAAUGCCAGGCAGGCUGGGCCCCCAAAGGCUCCUUUUUCAAAACCUCUGGAAGCCGCGGUUGAAUGUGCCAUGACCCUCCCCCUCUCUGGAUGGCACCGUCAUUGAAGCUGGCAUCAUCGGAGUCUCUUGUUCUGUUGGCGUGCUACCUGGAAGAUCCUUCUGUCCUGGACAAGAGGAAUUGGAAGAGCAUUUUAUGUUUUAAGAACAGGCUGACACGCAGCUACAACAACAGCUGAGAUCACUUAAUAAAUGGUGCUAAACUAGCUUGUCUCAUGCUCUUGCUCUUUAUGGUGCAUCAAAGAAGUGGCCUUUCAGACUGACUGUCACCAUAUUAAGGAAUGGCACAGACUUCUCCACGGAGGGCCAUCUGGGGAAUGCAGCCUCAUUUCCAUAAGCCCAUUGUAGGGUCACAUGGUAUUUUGUUCCAGUUCUGCUGAGGUCUGACAUAAUGAGGUGACAUCUCGCUCUCAAAAUGAGACCCCAUUUUCUGGUACUUGAAUUGUAGUUCCCAUCUGGUCACGCUGAUGACCAGAACAGAGUGAUUUCUGAUUCGAAUUCGGCUUGAAAGUCUGUUAAGGUUGGAAAGGGGGAUCCUUGGCCUUUGCUUCGCUUUGUUUGCCUUUACUUCAAAGAAAUCUCUUGCUUGGAGGUAAAGCCCUGCUUCUGUCUGUGUGUGGCUGUGUGUCUAUAGUCUCCUUGCUUUGUGUUAACAGGGUUUUCUCACUGUGCCAAAGCUGCCCAAGCCGCAGGCUCUUGCCAGCCUUCUCCCUCUGUUUUCCAUUGAGAACCAAAUCAUCUUCCUCUUUGGGCUAGUCCUGCUUGCAAGGUUGCAAGGUUGUAGCCCUUCUCCCAGGGUUUUGUGCAUCAGGAUCUGGGACGGGGCAGUGUCUUCGUCCCGUAGGAGUUCGCUCCGUAGGCUAGCUGACCUUGGGACAUACCAGCCCCUUGUAUGCUUUGUGGCUUGGCUUGUAUGCGCUGCAGCUUGGCCUUCAGGCCCCUAACCCGCAUGUAGAAUUCCAGCAGGCCUCAUGUCACUUUAGGUUUUCUUGGGAGCUACUACCGAAACCAAAAAGAAACCGUUUUUACAGAACUCGAGGUCAGGUUGCCUGAUAGCUCUUGAAGGUGGCUGUUGGCAUAAUGUGGAGUCUUCCAAAGCGGCCAUUCCAUGUUGGCAGCAACACCCUGUGCUUUUACAUUGACGACCAGGCUCCCCGUGGCCCGGGAUCUCACAGAACACACACUGGGACUAGCAUUCAACAUUCUGGAGGUGUUUGUGUCAUUGUUUGUCUGUUUACUGCAUAUCCCAAAUUGGUUGAAGUACCUAGAAAAUGGGAGAUUUGUUGGCAUAUGGAAAUGCCUAUGCUCUGUGUUUUCAGCACUUGUCAAAGAACUACUUCCUAUGGCUUCCCUCUUGCCUUCCAAUAUUAUCUUACAUGUACUGACCUUAAUUUCAGCUAUAUCACUGGUCCAGGAGAUGAGCUUGAUGUCACCUUCCAGAGUAAGAGUUGAUCAGAAAGCACCAAACCUACCCUGAGCCCCCUGUGAUCCUCACCAAAUGUGAACAGAAGAAGUCAGAACUGUGUCUGUUUUGUAGUCCUCAUGGAGCCACAAGCAGUGGCUUGGGUUAAGCCAAAGAGCAGCAGCUGCUGGGACUUGAGAAUUCAAGGAAAGUGAAGGAAGAAAGGGCCAACAUUUGCUCUUCCCCAAGUUCUCUGGAGAUUAGGCUGCUGGAAAUGGUGAGGGGCACUUUUUUUGGAGUAGCUUAGGCUUCUCAGUCAAGUUUCUCCACCUUGCUAUGUUUCAGUCCAGUUUUCAAUGUCCUUUUUCACCUGUUUGGUUUUUCCAGCCUUCCCCUAUUCACUGCUUGUGGCCUCUUCCUGCUGCACUCUUAGGCGGGCUGAGAGGCAAACGCCGCAUUCAGUGUGUGGUGAGCUGCUUUGCUGCAGAGGGGACGCCUGCCUGCCGCUGCUUACCCCUGUCCCUUGCCAAUAGUUCACCCCGUAAGGGUGAGCAGGUUCCACUGAGAAAUGGGAAACCUGUUAAAUUGAGUGUUAGCUCUGGUGCGUGGCUCCUUUUAAUGAGACCAAUCAUAGCUGAGGCUUCCUAGGUUUGGGUACUUGCAAACAUCAAGUAACUAACUGUAUCCUCUUUUGAGGAGAAGUCUCAUAAUGCAGCCAGACUUGCAACCACCAGGGGACCCCCAGGGGACCACCGGGAUAAAAGUUGGCACAGAGCCACAUAAAGCAGCAGUGUCUUUCGUGAGGAAAUUUCUCUUUGGAAUAGUCCCACUGAGUUCCUUUGUGCAUCUGGCCUGGAACGGAAAAGGGGAAGACAGGGCCAGCUCCACUCAGUGGGCCACAGUACUGGGGAGUCUGACCAGACCCCUCUGCAGAGGAAGUUGAGGGGACAAUUCAAGCUUUCGAAAUACAAAAAUCACAUUGUGAAAGUACACAAGCUGGCAAUAAUCCUUUUCUGUAUGUGUGUGUUUGUCCGAAAUGGAUGGGAGGUCUCCAGCCGGUCCUUCCAUCUGCUCACUGAAGGGACGCCCUGAGCCGUGUGCUCCCUUUUGCACUCAUUCCUGGAGGACGGAUUCCGCUAGACACCCUCCAGCGUCGCUGACUUUAUAAAGCGGAAAAACAGAAAACGUGACUUUGUAAUAGACAAACUUUUUUUUUUAAUGGGGUUCUGUGGGGGGAGGGAGUUCAGCCUUUGGUUUUGCUGUGUGCUCUCCUCUGCUGUACGAAGGGCCUCGUGACCACGUGUGCGAGCCAGAGCUGUGGACUGAGAGGUAGCAGUAUUAUGAAUGUCUGUGCAUCCAGGAAAAGCUUUCUGUUGGAGAGUCCCGGAAUAGCUAUAAAUGCUCUCUUCUAGCUCUGCCAUUAAAUUAUUGGGACAUUUUGUUUAUUUCUCUCCCCUCUUCCCCCAAGCCCACCAUUUUCAGAAAAUGUGUUAACUGAUUUUGUAUAGUCUCCUGCCUUAUGCCCUCGGUUCUUCCCUCCUGUGGGACCCUUUCUUCUUAGGCACUGCCGCACUUAGAACGUGAAUCCAGUGGGCCACACUGGCUCCGAGGCAGCUGGAAGGCGCGCCUUGGUGAAUGAGGCCGGCGCAGAGUCCAGCUGGAUCAGGAGCCGGCCUGCAGUAGCGGUUCCGGGCGCGGAGUUCGGAGCCGAGGGCAGUGUCCCAACCCAGACGGGCUGGGCCUGCGUGUCCAGCCUGUUGCAUGACCCUCGCUGAGGAAGGGAGGCAAAAGCUUGGCUGUUGCCCAGUAUGAACACUUAAUAUGGUAAAUUCUAGGAUUCCCGAAACUGGGGCAUCUCAAGGAAAGGUGGCCGUGAUGGGUGGCUUUCUUUGCAUGGCCUUGCCUGUCUGCAGUGGUUGAGGAAGCCUGCUUUCGGUCCUUGUCACCUGGUAGAUGUGCUAGUAAUGCGUGCUGGCCCGUGACGCCCACACAGAAACCUCUGGUAGGCCGCCGCAAGCACGCUUUAAAAACGGCCAGUCAGGCAUCAGAGAAGCCUGGCCAUCUGACUCCAGAAGGAUUGAAGUCAGAGAGGUGAAAAGAGCACCUCGGAUGGAAAUCCGUACUGAGUACGAGUCCUCCAGCAGCCUGCAGGGAGCGCUGUCUUACUUGGCUCUUGUGAGCAGAGAUCUGCAGUACCUUAAAUUAAGGUCUCUCCUAAAGCCUGUCCUUGAAGGCCAGGGCCUUCGCCACCUGGUCUCAGAGGAGUCCUAUGAGAGUUACAGGCAUUUCCUUAUUGUAUUUAUAUUAUUCUCUUCUACUUUCCAACUCCUGAACACCCUCUCAUUACCACUGUGUCGAGAUGCUUGUUCCCGAAGGAAGGGAGUGCAGGAGCCAAAAGGGCAGUGCUUCUGUUACAGGUGAAGUUAGAUCGGAUAAGAAGAUCUAGCAGUGAUUUAAACUCCAGGAGUACGAAGAAUGAAUUGUAGCGCCCAGAUCAUUGUGAAGGGCUCAGGCAAAUAGAAGAGCAACACUGGCUAAAUGGGGAGCAAAGGCUGCCACCUGAGUAUUUGUCUAGACCCCAGGAAGGGCUUCACUUUUGCCCACACUCAGAUUUGCCAUGAGAAUUCCAAAGAGAACAGACCUUUGGAUUUGCCUUCUUUUGGGCAUCUACCUGUUACAUGUGUGCGAGCAAGUGUGCGCGCGCGCGCGUGUGUGUGUGUGUGAGAUAUGUUCAUGAGGGAGGGGUCUGUCAGGCUGAGUGCUUGGGUGUCCUGUCCAUAUUUUUGCGUUUUGUUUUUGUUUUUGUUUUGGUCUCAUUCAGAUUCUUUGAUCUCUUGUGUUUUCUAGAGCUGCUCAUAUUUCCCUUCCUCCUUGGCAUUGCAGUAUUUGAAAGUUAUCUUUAUCCAUCAAAAGAUGCUGGCCCUGUGCUGGUCAGAACAAGAGUUAUUUCUCUUAGGCAGUGUCUUGGCCCCAGGCCUUUCCCGGAUAUUCUGCCCAGCGCUUUCUUUUAGUGGGAGGUUGAAGAGUCAGUUUAGCCGAAACACCUAUAUUCCAGAGUAGCUUGAGGUCCUUUACUUCCUUUUGACUCCCCGGGCCUCGGCGACAACGGCAGUGGUUAUGGCAUCACCUACUAUGGGGACAAAGUGGGGGAAAGGUGCACCCUGGCCAGCCUCACAAACAUGGUAGGUUGCCCCGCCCGGAGAUGGGGAGUCACCUUCCACUUCACGCAGGUGGGCUGUUGUCCCACGGCCCCCCUGAUGGGUUUUCCCUUUGAAAUUGGCCCCUACUUCUCUCGAGGGCUCUUCUCAUUUUACCCUUCUCUAUUCACGUGUCUGGGUUUUUUCCCUGUGACCUUGGCAGUGGCAGUAACUUUCCACCCAGAGAGAAGCUUGUGGUCCACGAUGCUCCAAGAAUGAACUUCCAGGAAUUUGCCAGUGGCGGAGCAGAGGCUGUGACAAAGUGAUCUAGUGUUGCACUUUCAGAGCGAUUGUCUACUGCAGUAAUAAAUGGAAAAUAUCCGCAAGAA